GGUGGACGUGCUGGCGGGGGCCGCGUGUGUACGGAGGCAGGAAGGGUUGGUGGGAGGUACUGGGCGGAAAGGGUGUGUAGGCGGUGGCUUAAGGUUGGUGUGAAAGCUCCGGGCUAAACUGGGAGGGUGCGCCGAAUACUGAGUGACUCGAGUGCGGGAGAGGAGAGUGGAAUUCCUGGUGUAGCGGUGAAAUGCGUAGAUAUCAGGAGGAACACCGGUGGUGUAGACGGCUCUCUGGACCGUAACUGACGCUGAAACACGAAAGCGUGGGUAGCAAACAGGAUUAGAUACCCCGGAGUC
rnacentral:rRNA from 1 species